rnacentral:misc_RNA from 1 species
GUGAAUCAUCGAAUUUUUGAACGCAUAUUGCACUCUCUGGUAUUACGGAGAGUAUGCCUGUUUGAGGGUAAUUAAAAAGAAUCUUUAUCCUAUUUUUUUAGGUUAAAGGAAAUGAGUUUUCUGCGUUUAUAGCGGUAGCUUGAAAUAAAUGGUAGUCUCAUUUUAGUCGAGACGCGUAAUAAUUUUAUUUUGUGAAAUCUUUAUUAUGUGACUUUCACGUUAUGAUGUAUACU